UGGGGAAUUUUGGACAAUGGGCGAAAGCCUGAUCCAGCAAUGCCGCGUGUGCGAAGAAGGCCUUCGGGUUGUAAAGCACUUUUGUCCGGAAAGAAAACGCCGUGGUUAAUACCCGUGGCGGAUGACGGUACCGGAAGAAUAAGCACCGGCUAACUACGUGCCAGCAGCCGCGGUAAUACGUAGGGUGCAAGCGUUAAUCGGAAUUACUGGGCGUAAAGCGUGCGCAGGCGGUCCGCUAAGACAGAUGUGAAAUCCCCGGGCUUAACCUGGGAACUGCAUUUGUGACUGGCGGGCUAGAGUAUGGCAGAGGGGGGUAGAAUUCCACGUGUAGCAGUGAAAUGCGUAGAGAUGUGGAGGAAUACCGAUGGCGAAGGCAGCCCCCUGGGCCAAUACUGACGCUCAUGCACGAAAGCGUGGGGGAGCAAACAGGAUUAGAUACCCUGGUAGUCCACGCCCUAAACGAUGUCAACUAGUUGUCGGGUCUUCAUUGACUUGGUAACGUAGCUAACGCGUGAAGUUGACCGCCUGGGGAGUACGGUCGCAAGAUUAAAACUCAAA
rnacentral:rRNA from 1 species